rnacentral:rRNA from 1 species
CUUCGCGGGGUCGCGGCUUUCGGGUCGCGGUUUCGCGGGGGCGCGCGUUCGUCUCGUUUUUUGCGUCGCUAAACGGCGUCGGAGGGCGUCUCUCGUCGGAGGCGAAAUCGUUUUUCGACGGGUUGCGCCCUUUUUCGUCGGAUUGCAAGAUUUUACUUUGAAUAAAUUAGAGCGUUCAAAGCAGGCGAAAUCGUCUUGAAUACGUUAGCAUGGGAUAAUAGAAUAGGACCGUAAGAAUUUUUUUCGGUUUAACGUUUACUGGUUUCUAAAGCCGAGGUAAUGAUUAGUAGGGACAGUUGGGGUCGCUCGUACUCGGCGGUCAGAGGUGAAAUUCUAAGACCCGCCGAAGACGAACAAGUGCGAAGGCAUUCGACAAGGAUGUUUUCUUUAAUCAAGAACGAAAGUUAUGGGAUCGAAGAUGAUCAGAUACCGUCGUAGUCAUAACCGUAAACUAUGUUGACUCGGGAUCCGAAGAAGUUACAUGGAUGACUCUUCGGGCACCGUGUGCGAAAGCACAAGUAUUCGAACUCCGGGGGGAGUAUGGUCGCAAGGCUGAAACUUAAAGGAAUUGACGGAAGGGCACCACCAGGUGUGGAAUCUGCGGCUUAAUUUGACCCAACACGGGGAAACUUACCCAGUCCGGACGCUACGAGGAUUGACAGAUUGAUAGUUCUUUCUUGAUUUUGUGGAAGCCGGUGCAUGGCCGUUUUUAGUUGGUGGAGUGAUUUGUCUGGUUAAGUCUGAUAACGAACGAGACCUAAUUUUGUUAAAUAGUACUGCCAACAAGGGGGUCGCCGGUCGUUUCGGUCGCGGGUUUUCGCCCGCGCUCGUGCGAUCGGGGCCUCCGCUCGUUUGUUGGUAGCUAGAUUUACUUCUUAGAGAGACUCUUGGUCGAUAACAGCAGCCAAUGGAAGCUUUAGGCAAAAACAGGUCUGUGAUGCCGCUAGAUGUCUGGGGCUGCACGCGCGUUACACUGACGUGUUCAACGAGUAUUUUAGAAUUACCUGGCCCGAGGGGGUUUCCGGCAAUCUCUAAAAGCACGUCGUGAUGGGGAUCGUGCCUUGUAACUAUUGCACGUGAACGAGGAAUACCUAGUAAGGGCAAGUCAUCAACUUGCCCUGACUACGUCCCUGCCCUUUGUACACACCGCCCGUCGCUUCUACCGAUCGAACUACUCGAUGAGGACUCGGGAUGCGGAGCGAUGUCUCGGUUCUGCCGAGCGCGUUUCGCAGAACCUGU